AUUUAGCAUUCCGGUACGAUGCCGUGUAGAAACCAAGGGUAUGGGUUUAGUAAAAACUGCCACACCCUUUCCAGGUUGGCGCGCUUCAAUCUUAGACUCCUUCACCAUUUACCAUCAGGUGAGAUUGCAGUCAAGGGCUUUUUUGAAUAAGAAUAAAAA